rnacentral:rRNA from 1 species
CCGGAUUGGAGUCUGCAACUCGACUCCAUGAAGUCGGAAUCGCUAGUAAUCGUGGAUCAGAAUGCCACGGUGAAUACGUUCCCGGGCCUUGUACACACCGCCCGUCACACCAUGGGAGUGGGCUGCAAAAGAAGUAGGUAGUUUAACCUUCGGGGGGACGCUUACCACUUUGUGGUUCAUGACUGGGGUGAAGUCGUAACAAGGUAGCGCUAGGGGAACCUGGCGCUGGAU